GAUGAACGCUGGCGGCGUGCCUAACACAUGCAAGUCGAACGGAGAAUUAUUGCCGAGGAGACUUCGGUCAAAUCAUAAUAAUUCUUAGUGGCGAACGGGUGAGUAACGCGUGGGGAACCUGCCUCACACCGGGGGAUAGCAGUUGGAAACGACUGGUAAUACCGCAUAAGCGCACAGUAUCGCAUGAUACAGUGUGAAAAACUCCGGUGGUGUGAGAUGGCCCCGCGUCUGAUUAGCUGGUUGGUAGAGUAAAAGCCUACCAAGGCGACGAUCAGUAGCCGGGUUGAGAGACCGGACGGCCACAUUGGGACUGAGACACGGCCCAGACUCCUACGGGAGGCAGCAGUGGGGGAUAUUGCACAAUGGAGGAAACUCUGAUGCAGCGACGCCGCGUGAGUGAAGAAGUAUUUCGGUAUGUAAAGCUCUAUCAGCAGGGAAGAAAGACUCGAAAGAGAG
rnacentral:rRNA from 1 species